CUGCUGUGCUCAGCAGAAGGAGGGAUGCUCUGCCUGAGGGAUUCUCUGCCCCAGCAAUGCUCUGGGAUUGGGGGCUCGACCCCUCUUCCACCUGCCACAGAAAUGCAAGAGCUCCCCCUGUGCUCUGAGUGCAGACUAUGUCCUUGGGAGAGGAUGUCUCCUGCUUCCCCUGACACCCAUGCUGUCGUUUUAAUCAGAAUUGCUGUCUGUUUCACAAGCCAGGAAUUGCAAGAGGUUUGAAAGCCCAGGAUGCAGCGGAUUUUCAAACAGGCCCAUCUGUGUGAUAUUUCUGGCCACAGAUCUCUGGUUUCCCCACCAAUGGCGGUAACUAAAUCUCUGUGAUGUACUCCAUGCCACGGGCUGGAUUAUUUGCAUUAGGAGUAAUCUUCUGGUGACUCUGCAGGUGUCUGUACUUGGCAGAAUGAAUUAAAGGGCUGUGCCUAAGUAACUUUUUUCUGAAUAUGAUUUCAGCUUGAAAAUUAUUACAAUGGGUAGCUGAACUUUUGGAAGUGUAAUCUCUGCCCUGUGCUAUAAUUAAGGACUAACUUCUUAUGCAGAAGGGGCAAAGAUGGAGUGGGG
rnacentral:lncRNA from 1 species